ACUCAAAGGAAUUGACGGGUCCCCGCACAAGCGGCGGAGCAUGCGGCUUAAUUCGAUGCAACCCGAAGAACCUUACCUGGACUUGACAUCUCGGGAAAAGCUGUAGAAAUACAGUGUCCGUAAGGGCCCGUGACAGGUGGUGCAUGGCUGUCGUCAGCUCGUGUCGUGAGAUGUUGGGUUAAGUCCCGCAACGAGCGCAACCCUUGUCCUAUGUUGCCAGCGGUUCGGCCGGGGACUCAUAGGAGACUGCCGGGGAUAACUCGGAGGAAGGUGAGGACGACGUCAAGUCAUCAUGCCCCUUAUGUCCAGGGCUGCACGCAUGCUACAAUGGCCGGUACAACGGGCAGCGAUCCUGUAAGGGUGAGCGAAUCCUCAAAGCCGGUCUUAGUUCGGAUUGAAGUCUGCAACUCGACUUCAUGAAGCCGGAGUCGCUAGUAAUCGCGGAUCAGCAAAGCCGCGGUGAAUACGUUCUCGGGGAUUGCACACACCGCCCGU
rnacentral:rRNA from 1 species